UUGAGUAAAACAAGAUUUUACAAUUCACAUUAAUUACUGAACUCUAAUUUAUUUCCCAAUGUAUACGUUUUCAUUUAUAUCUUUGUGACUCUACUCUUUAAACAUAGGCUCAAUAGUUUAUCAAGUAUUGGCUUUCUGAGAGGUAUAAUUUAUAAUUUUCCUAAUGGAACUAUUGUCUUCUCUCAUAUUUAACUACAUAGAUUGACAGGUAGUUUCCUUUUAAAAAAGAUAUACCUCAAUGUUAAGCAAAGGCUGUGAAUCCACCCAGGCUUUUAGUAGUUGUGUUGUGAAGCUCCAAUGAAAUGCGAAGUCUCUGUAAAAAUAUCUUGAAGAUUUUAAUAACUUUGACUUCUAUUUUAGUCUGCCAUGGGUUUCCCUGAAAGGUGGGACAGAAAUAGGAGGAAUGCAGUGUUGGAAACCACAUGAAGAUUCAUGUCACAAUACCCAUGACACAUUCACAUCCUGAGGAGUAAAGUUGGAGUUUGCAAGAUUAUUAAUAGUAGAAAAGCUGGAAUGGAACCAUGCAAGUUCUGAGCGUCAGCAGGUGUAUGUGUCAUUCUGGCGUGCUCAGCUUGGGAAAGCUUUGGGCUUUACUUUCCGAAAAGGACGUGGAGCAAAGGAGAGAAUCCUGAGCCAAGUGGUCAGAACAGCCAACAGGGAAAUCGGAAGGAUGGGAGCUGUGUGCAGUGUACAACAAACACGUAAAAAGUUGCUGCAGAGAGGAUAACCCUUCCAAUAGUCAACACUGUACAAGUAAGAGAAGGUUUCUGAAUGUCUUCCACCACACUCAGUGUUUUGGAGACCAUAGUCUUCA